GCGGCCAUAGCUCAAUUGGUUAGAGCGCCGGUUUGUGGUACCGGAGGUUGCGGGUUCAAUCCCCGUUGGCCGCCCCA
rnacentral:tRNA from 1 species